rnacentral:rRNA from 1 species
CAAUAGCGUAUAUUUAAGUUGCUGCAGUUAAAGAGCUCGUAGUUGGAUUUCGGGUGGGAAUGGCCGGUCCGCCGUUUCGGUGUGCACUUGCUACGCCCACCUUGCUGCCGGGGACGUGCUCUUGAGUUCACGCUCGGGACACGGAGUCGGCGAGGUUACUUUGAGUAAAUUAGAGUGUUCAAAGCAGGCCUACGCUCUGAAUACAUUAGCAUGGAAUAACACGAUAGGACUCUGGCCUAUCUUGUUGGUCUGUAGGACCGGAGUAAUGAUUAAGAGGGACAGUCGGGGGCACUCGUAUUUCAUUGUCAGAGGUGAAAUUCUUGGAUUUAUGAAAGACGAACUACUGCGAAAGCAUUUGCCAAGGAUGUUUUCAUUAA